rnacentral:misc_RNA from 1 species
GAUGAAGAACGUAGCGAAAUGCGAUAAGUAAUGUGAAUUGCAGAAUUCAGUGAAUCAUCGAAUCUUUGAACGCACAUUGCGCCCGCCAGUAUUCUGGCGGGCAUGCCUGUUCGAGCGUCAUUUCAACCAUCAAGCCCCAGGCUUGUGUUGGGGACCUGCGGCUGCCGCAGGCCCUGAAAACCAGUGGCGGGCUCGCUGUCACACCGGGCGUAGUAGAUUUUAUCUCGCUCUGGGCGUGCUGCGGGUUCCGGCCGUUAAAAAACCCUUUUAACCCAAGGUUGACCUCGGAUCAGGUAGGAAUACCCGCUGAACUUAAGCAUAUCAAUAAGCGGAA